UCGGGAAUUUUGGGCAAUGGGCGAAAGCCUGACCCAGCAACGCCGCGUGAGGGAUGAAGUAUUUCGGUAUGUAAACCUCGAAAGAAUGGGAAGAAUAAAUGACGGUACCAUUUAUAAGCUCCGGCUAACUACGUGCCAGCAGCCGCGGUAAUACGUAGGGAGCAAGCGUUGUUCGGAUUUACUGGGCGUAAAGGGCGCGUAGGCGGCGCGGUAAGUCACUUGUGAAAUCUCUGAGUUUAACUCAGAACGGCCAAGUGAUACUGCUGUGCUAGAGUGCGGAAGAGGCAACCGGAAUUCUUGGUGUAGCGGUGAAAUGCGUAGAUAUCAAGAGGAACACCUGAGGCGAAGGCGGGUUGCUGGGCCGACACUGACGCUGAUGCGCGAAAGCCAGGGGAGCAAACG
rnacentral:rRNA from 1 species